GCCAGGCACAGUGGCGCAUGCCUGUAAUCCCAGCAACUUGGGAGUUUGAGGCAGGAGGAUUGCAAAUUCAGGGCCAGCCUCAGCAAUUUUGCAAGGCUGUCAGCAACUUUGUGAGAUCCUGUCUCUA
rnacentral:sRNA from 1 species